ensembl:lincRNA
CUGCAUGUAAGAUCAUUUUCAAAAAUCAGGGGCUAUUUAAAUGAUAAAAACUUCAAAAAAAAGAAAGCAAAGAUGAUAUAGAGAGAACAAUUUCUCCCUAGGACAAGCUAAUGAGAAUCUGUCAUCAGUUUUCGUGAAAAGAAAAGGAAAAAGGGAAGAGGAUUUCACCAAGUUCUCCUCAUAGAGAGUCAUCACCUCCUUUAAUAAGAGUCGGGCAGGUGUGUUUCCCUUUUCCAGCUGCUGAGAGAGAGAGAACGUGCGCUCAGGAGUGGAGAGUGAAGGAUAGACCUAACGAAACUCAGCAGAGCAAAGCUGCAUCGGAGAGCUGAAAGAUUAAGUAGUGGAAUCACUGCAUGUUUGGAGGUUUGGAGGAGAAACAAAUCAUUAAUGGAAUUUUCAGAAGAGAGUCUGUAAUGAAGGUAGAAAUGAGUAACCCCCAAAAACAUUUCUCAAGCCCUGACACUCUUGCCAGCUUCACUUAUCUUUUUCUGGGCUGGGCUAAGUUCUCGCUCUCCUGCUCUCUCUCGUCACUAGUUCUUUUCUCUCUUUCGCCCUCUCCUUGCAUUUGAGUGUAAUAAGAGCCAUGCAGUGAGUUGUGGAUGAGAGGCUUCAGUUUGUAAGAGAGGAGAGGAGCGGGACAGGAACACACACGCACACAUACAAACACUGAGUGGCUGGGAGUUUCAGCGCUGCUUGCAAGAACGUAGAAUUGGAGUGCCGGGACUGGGGGCUGCGCUGCUCCAUUGCACUUUCUCUCUCUCUUUCUGCCUCUCUCUAUCUCUCUCUCUCUCUCCUCCGGGUCUAAACGUGCAGCACAGGAACUGCAGCGGCAGAUAUGAACCUCUCACUGGCCCAGACUUCACAAGCAUGUAGGUGAAACGUGGAGUUGUGGGUCUGAAGUCUAGAUCCCAGUGCUACACAAUAAACAUUAACCAUCCCAGAACACAACAAUGGCAGAUGAACAUUUCAUCAUCAAGGAAAUGAACAGAUGAGAGAGAGGGAAUAAUACUGUGCUUCAAGCUUCUGUUACUGCAGGCCUAUUGAUUUUGACUGGAACAUAAUGUGUCCAUGUCACAGCCUGUACAGAUAAGGACCAGUGUGCUGAACUCGCCUCACCAGCAUCAUGACUGAAGAGACUAAACAGUCCUUGGCUGCCAAAGACCUGGAUAAUGAAUCUAAAAAAAAGGAGAAGGGGGCCGUGGAGCAAAAAAAGUCCCCUGAGCACUUUCAAAAUGUGAGUCUGGCGCCACAGGCUGUGAACAAUCUUGCUAAGUUUACUGAAAAAGAGAGGGACAACACGCAACAACGGGAGGCUGUGAUUCGACCACAGCAGGCUGGAAAGAUUGAUUUUAAGUCACUGCAGAACCAUUCGUUCAGUAGCAACAGAACGUGGCCCAGCAGCAAGGACAGCCCUCAGUCUCCUAAUGGGAAGAAUCGCAAUAGAGACAAGACUAGAAAGUCGGGGAAAGGAGAACGUGGCAGCCCGCAGCAGUUAUACAGACUAAGUAUUACAAACCAACGCUCAAAUCCCACAAUUGGGAUAGCCUAUCCCCAGCAGAAGGUCUCACCUCCAAAGAAGCUUGAGUCCAACAGGGGUCCAGUCUCAGGCAGCUACCGCUUCCAUGUGCCAAGUAUUCCAGAGCGAGAGGCUGAACUACAGCAGGAAGAACUACAGUUUAGAUGUUUCCAGGAGGGCUCACCUAACCUUACUUCCCAAAGCUAUACCUCACAGUCUGCAGGCACCACCUCUGUAGGACCAACUCACCAGAAUCCACCAUCUGCUUCACAACAACAGCAACAGAAGCCCAGCUCAACAGAUAGCAACAACACACAACCUGUCAUCAACGAAACUUUAUUCCCCGACUUUCACCUGAAUGAGACAGACACAUGGCACUCUUCAGAGAGGACUUUCAGAAACACUAGUUUUGGCAUUUCUUCACAAAAGUCAAACAACCUUGUGGACUUGAACAAAGCCAAUAGUAGUUUUAUCCCUAUGCCAUUUCAGUAUGGAUAUCCAUUGUUAGAUGAAUCAGCAUCCGAUUCUUUUCCCUGUGAUAGGACUACACAGUCACAAGACUUCAUAGACAUUUCUCUUACUCCUAACCAAGUUUCUCAAAAUUCAUUUUCCUUCCCAUCUUCUUCAGAGGGCCAUGAAGCCAUGCAAACAAAUUCUCAGUUUGGCAAUGAUCAGGUAGAGGACAGACAAUCAUACCAAAUGCACCCUAAACCACCCCAGUACAUGCAGACACCGCUUGGUAUGUCAUCUUCUGUUGCCAGUAAUGAUGAAAUCUCUGUAUCAAGCACUCACCAUUCAGAGCAAAGAAAGAAUAUUACAGAUAAAGCUGAUGCUUUUACUCCAGUAGAAAGCAGGGAAACAGGGUUUGCAGCAGCGGGGAAAAGAGGCUGCCAUCUUAAAAACGGCACCACUAGCCAGAGGGUUCUUGUUCAAGGCAGUGUUCACCAAAUUAGGAAUGCUGCACAAGGUUCAAGUUCCCAACUACACGUAAUUAGCCCUCCACAUAAUAGUAUUCACAUAAAUCCAGGACCUCUAGAUAAAAGCGGCAGUAAGCACCAUGGUAGGGUAUCACAGCUAUGGGAAGGACCAAACAAAGUUUUUCCACCACCACUCACAGACCAGACAUCUACACCUUACAAUUUUCAGUAUCAACCUGCACCGGAACAAAGGCAAAACACUGGUAUUAAUGGCCGUAUACCUUGGCAACAGAUCCGGUUCACAACUGCCUUGCCGAGCCAAAACAGGAUUGAUCUUUCCAGGCAAUUGAGCAAUCAACAGCUUACUUUUAUGAUAGGCCCAUCAGACUGGCAAGAAGACAGUAAGGCACACAACCAAAAAGAUUCUAACAGCUUUCUGAGCAAAAAGACAAAUGAAGUCUUCUCAAACCAAAGGAAAGAAAGUGGGAAGCAAGGCUGCAACACCAUUCCACCCUGCCCAUUCACAAACAAGGUGGAUAUGAAUCAAGGCCAGGUGGGUGAUGGGAAGAAUAAGUCAGUAUAUUUUGGGAUUAACCACUCAGUGCCAGUGACACCAUCAAGAAACUGUAGCUACCCUCCAUUACAAGUAGGACCCUUAGGGCUGAAGAUGGUGUCACCAUACGACUCUCCUUCACAUUCACCUUCUCAAAAUCCAACAUCUAGCAGUACAUGUUCAUCCCUCUCGCCAGCUUCCACAAACUCUGUCAACAGUAACGCUGAUGACAGCCAGAUGUCAAAGGGUCUUUCCCCCACAUUUUAUAAGCAGCAACAGGAUAAAGCAUUGAUAUCAUCCAAUAACAUGAACACUCAUCAGCAUCACUUCCUUUCCGAAGGAUCGAGAGGCUUGCACUUUAAACAAGAAAAAGCCAAAGAGAACACUGCAAGUUUCAUGACACAUAACAGGCUCUCAAAGCCCAACACAGACAAUGGAAAAGGUUGUUUAGAGACCUACAGAACAGAAACCCAUCCCCCACCUUCAUACUCUGCCCACCAACUCGCCACAUCAUUAGUCUCAGCAAACCUUGACCAACUUGAUGUGCUUCUGACAUGCAAGCAAUGUGAUCAGAAUUUUAAUAACCUUGUGUCUUUUCUUGAUCAUAAGCAAUACUGUGGACAGCAUGCAUUUGCACACAAUGAAUUAAAAGAUGCGCCAAAAGUGGAGGACACAAGGAAGUUUCAGACAGACCACACUAAAGCCAUGUCAUCUGGAUCCAGUUACACAAUUUUGCGGAGUUCUUCAGAUUUGCAUCUGUCUCUGCUUGGACUGAACAAGAAUGGAGAAAUUGUGUCAGAUAACGAAACAAAAGGAGAGAUAAAAGACGAUCCGAUGAAACUGCUGCUACCAUCUGCACCUCUGCCGGACUUAGAAAUGGAAGAUCCCAAAUUGGAUAGUCUUAUCACAGAGGCUUUGAAUGGACUAGGCUAUCAGUCAGACAACACAGAGAUCGACAGCAGCUUUAUUGAUGCAUUUGUCGAUGAUGACCUCACCACUACUAAAUGCACAUCCACAAGACCGGCUCUGACUACCAAAGACUCCACAAUAUUUGAAGGUAGAACUAACAAUGAAACAACAUGCAGUGAGAAACCUCAAGUUUGCUGCAAAUAUCCUUUCGACUCUGACUUAGACAGCCUUAGAUCGGACAAACAAACGGACAGUCCUUUCAAGGAAAGUCAACAUGAGCAAAAGCAAGGCCUCAAAACAGAAAGCUCUUCAUCAGAAUCUAAGUUACAGGAGUCAAACUGCACACAAAUUGAGUGGGAAGCAAGAAAGUCAGAACAAACAGGACAGGAAAAUGAUUACAGUUCUAAGUUCCUUUUAUCAAGUAAGUUUUCUGCAAGAUGCGGACUUAAAAGCUUGCAAAGCAGCACAUCAUUAGUUAAAGCAACAUGUUCCAGAUCAACCUGUGCCAACAACAGUCCUACAUCUCAGAAACCAAUUGCAACAGAAGGAAAAAGGAAAAGGACGGGUGGUGGAAGCUGGAGUAAAGAGCUUAUUCAUAAAAUUGUUCAACAAAAGAACAAGCUGCAUAAACUCCACGUAAAAGGUACCAAAAACAUGCAGUUUUCACUUGUGAUGGAGAGAGUCACUCCUGCAGUGCAGAACCCUACUUUCAGGGAAUACGAUUACGUAUCUGACUCAGACGAUGAUUGUGAGCCUGUGAAGAUAGCCAGUCAGGGACGCCUCAGCCAGAGUAUUCGUUGCAAGUACACAUACACUAAAGAAUGCAAGGGGAGAAUUCGUGCAGACAAGAGCCGGGAAAGUUCAUGGAAACAAAACAAAAAUGAGUGCUUUGAUCCCAAGAGAGAUUUAGAUGUCUCUUCGUCCUUACUGAAAGACAACCCUCGACAAAGGCUGCGAAGACGGAGCAGUAGAUCUUCUACAAGCAGUGAACUCAGCACAUCAAUAAGUAUCUGUAGCGAUAGCAUUAGCAGCCCAAAAAGUACUGAUCAUACAGAUUCAGACUCAGAGAAACAAAUAGAAGUACAGAGGAAAGAUCAAGACUCUCUUGAGCAGAAUGCAUAUGAGGAAUCCCCAUCAAGGAUACGAAAAGAGUCCAGCACGUCUCUUGCUUUGACCUUCACAAAAAAUACGAAAAGGUACAGCACUGAUAAGAUACUACUCACUGAGCACAAGGAUCGAUUCACUACUUCAAAAUGUUCAAGCAUUAUCUGCAAAACCGAAGAGACUGCAUCUGAGCAUACAAUGACUAAAAGUACAGUGAGUCUUGCAAGAUUCAAAACCACCAGGGUGGAAAUAGAGGGAAAAGGGGACCACUAUGGUUUUGAGGCAGGAAUUCUUGCAACUAAGGAAGAGCCAUUCAAAACAGAUUGCCCAAAUAUUAUCACAUCACCAAGAAGGUCCAGCAUAGCACUGAAUCCAACAGAAACCACCAACAAUAGAGAUUCUUGCAAUAGAGAUGUUUUCCAACUCAAAAAAGAUGCUGCUACUUCAAAGAGUAAAUCCCACAAGAAAAGGACAAACAGUUCUGAAUGUUCAACACCCAUUUUUGAGAAAACCCACACCUCCACUGAAGAGGCCAGCCGAAGCUCAAACGAAUUAUUCCAACCUAAACCAUCUCUUUGCAAUUCACUCAUGAACAAAGUCUGCUUAUCACCUUCAAAAACCAAUGAAGAUCCAACAGAAAAGAAUGGGCAAUGUCUCAUUCCCUAUCCCUCAGAACAUGACCAGAGUCUUUCCUUUGACACAAUGUUUGGUGACAUUUCUGUGGGAGGUUUUGAGAACAAUCUUUACCCAGAUAUUCAACUUGCCAAAGUCAGCUUUAGUCCUCUGGAAAGCACACCAGAUAAGAAGGAACUUUUUGAAUCAUCAUUCUCACCAUUCUUAGAGCAGAGAGACUGGAACCUGAUGGAUGUUAAUCCUGUGCUACCAGAUGAGAUUUCCCAGUACAAAGAAGAUUCAGACUCAACUGAGAAUAAUAACCAUUUCAACCAUGUGCCAUUUGCUUUGCCAGAAAAAUUAAUGGACUACACUCCAAAUCUCAACAGUAGUGUGUCAGUUGAUGAUCUGGAAAUAAAAAGGAUUGUUACAGAGCUGGAGAGUCAGCUACAAACAGCCAAACUCAGCAGCCCUCCAUCCUUAGACAAUGAGCCACCAAAGCAUCUUACAAUGAGCAAAUUCUCUCCACUGAGACUCGAUCCUGAAAGUGAAGAUGAAAACAGUAGCUUAGAAAUUAACUGCUCUUCAGAGAACCUGGAAAUUGCCAGACCAGUGGAGUCACAUUUAGCACUGUUCUCAGAACCUGAAUUACCAUGGUCCAGUCCACUCCCAUUUGGCCUGAUGUGUGGACAGCAAGGUCUUCAUACACCAACACAUUCAUCUACUAUCAACACACCAAAUGAUUCAGGGCAUGAUCAUUUGGAUUUAAAAGAUAGCAUGAGGCUCACCGAUUUGACUUCAGAAAACAGUUCGUCUCUUCACCUAGACAACAAAACAGAGAAUAAUGGCUUGGAGAAGUCAGAAGAGAUGCUUGAGCAUGAAAUUUACACAGAAAAUCUGAUGAAGAGCUUGGAAGUAAUCUCAGAUUCAUUGUCUUCAGGUUUUACAUCACCUCAGUCAUCUCCUAAUCAAGAGUGUGUGGUUUCUGAGGAACAUGAAAAGCAAGAUAAUGAACAUCCAGAGUGCAAGGAGCCUGAACAUAUGGAAUCUAUAAACACAGAAGCAGAGCUCUCAAAGUUCUCAGUGGAAACUAACACAUUUUCUGAUAAACCAGAUGAGACAACCAGUGAAAUUUCAGGGUCACUUAAUGAAACAAAAGCCAGCCUAAUUGAGACUAUUAAUGACAGUCUUCAUAAAGAAGAAUUAGUAGCUAAUGAAAAACUGCUUGCUGGGACCUCCUUUGAGAGUCCAGAGACUACACACUGUGUUAAUUCAAAUGAAUCUGACUCACAAAAGUCGUAUGAACAUAAGUGUGAAUCGUCUGUCAACCAAAACAAAAAUGCUGAGUUUGAAACACAGUUACACAUAAAAGACUCUAUGUAUACUACACAAAAUACAGAUGUCUCUAAAACAUCCAACUUUUCAGCAUCUCCAGCAACACCGAAAGACGCAAACACCCAGUGUGUGGACAAAAUACAGAAAUGUGAUGAGGAUUCAGCUCUGAUUGCAAAGCCAGAACUCAUAUCUGAGGGCAAUGGACACAUAUCUGACAAAACAGGUAGAACUACAGACUCUUUGUGUGAUGCAGACAUCCAGCCAACACUCUUAAACAUCAAAUCUCCUCUUUGUCAAGACCAUUUGCCAAUCUAUUCACAGGUAAUUAAUACACAACAGGUAGUUUCUCCAAAACAUCUUCCUGUUGUUCAAGAUGAACAUGGCUGUGCAGACAUUGGGGCCAUAACUGAUAUGACAUUGUUUACAGGGCAUUCAGAAUGUGAAGAUAAUCAUCAAAAGAAUAAGGAGCAUAGGACUCAGGCCCCACAGUUUUCUCACAACUCCAUCCAAAGCCCUUGUGAACUGAGAGAUGUUCAACUACCAGACACGGUUGCCCCUACAAUGAGUGAAUACAUACCAUCCCUGGAAGACGGAAACUCAGAUCAUAUUAAUAUUGGCAGGUCUGUAGAUACUUUACAAUCAGCAACAACAGAGGAAGAUGAUUCAUUUAUUCCCCAUCUGGAUUUAGAAGAAAUCACAACGAGUAAAUUGUCUAGUCCUGGAACACUGUUGGCUGUGGACAGCAUCUCAAAACAAACAUUUGGUGAGACUCCUGAGCAAUCUGGGGCAUUGGGUUGCUCUCAAGGUGCACCGUAUGAUUUAAAACCUAUUCCCAUUAAUUACAGUGACGCAUGCUUUAAUGACAACAGCUUCCCCUCUAAAUGUUUAGAUGAAGAAAAUGGCCAGUCUGUGGUAAAAUCCAACUCAACAGACAGUUACAUUCUUAAUGCCUGUGCUUUCUCUCUUGAUAAACCACUCAUGCCAAGCCUACCGCAUAAUUCAAAUGAACAGACAAAUAUUCAGAAUCACCUGACUGGACUUAAUAUACCUGAAAACUCUAUAAAUGGCAAUCACCAAAAUGAAAAUGAAUGCGUCUCAGCAUCCUGCAGUAAUUGUUGUGAAGUCACUACAUCUGACCCUGAACAAACCUCCAAAUUUAACCAUAAUGACAUGAACAGAAUUCAUGUUCCAGCAGAAACUAUUAUUUACAUGGAUACGCACCAUAAACCCUUGAAGAAUUUAGAUUCUGAGAAGAUGGACAAUCAGGUGAUCACCAGUGAGCAUGACGAAACACAGAGGUCCACCACAUUAGAUGUUAAGAAAACAUCUACAACUCUGAUUCCAUGUGCAAACGCAGCAUCCAUGGCUCUUGCAUUCGCAUCUGUCCAAAAUGAUGUACAGAGUUCAAAGUCAAGUGAGACAAAAAUGUCACCUAAAAAGGGUGGUGCACAGAUUGAACUUCAAGGAAAGUUUCAGUGUGAAAUAUGUGCGAUGUUCUUUCGUACACAACCUGGACUGAAAAGGCACAAGGCCAUGAAGCAUGUAGUAAAGUCUGAAGGGAUUUUGCCCAUUGAAAAUGCAAAUAUGAGUAGCCAAAUAUACAUACCAAUUUAUAAUAUGUCACACCCAACAGAAAAAACAAUGAAAGACGGCAUGAAUAUCGAGAGCCCAGCAGUUCUUUCGCAUCCAAACAGAAUUGAAAUUUCAGAUGGACAACAGAUAAAUACCCCUUGCAUCUUGGAAAGGACUGCAAGCAAAGCUGAUGUAUCAACCGUUCAAGGUAGUAGUGAUGGUGAUCAGGCAUCCCCUGUAAAUGAAAUAACAAAACACUCUAUCACCACCAUGGACAUCAGCAGUGAAAUGUUUGCUCCAAACCUGGUAAAGCAAGACAUCUUUUCAGACGAAAUACUCAAUAGACUUAAAACAAAUAUAUUGCAAGCCGUCUCUCCAGAUUUCCCCUCAGCGGUGCAACAAAACUGUCCUAAGUCACCUGAAAAGCAGGUCAACGGUAGCAAUCAAAGCUAUCAUGAACUCAGUGUGAUAAAGGAGCAGGGGAGCACUGAAGUGCAAAAGGAGGAUACUACUUCAACAGAGCAUUCAAAGGUGCAUACUAAAGAAGAUGCAUCUGACAUUGACAGUGUUGUGAAGUGUUGUGAUAUGAACCCAAAUGGUGUAACAGAAGAUAUCCACUUUCCACAUGGGAAUUCUUUUGUGAACAUAAAGUGUGAGAACACAUAUUCUCCCACAGAAGAAUGUGACACACUUAAUGGAAUAGGAUCUGAUCUCAAGGCUUUCUUUGAUGACGAAAGCACAUUUUCUCAGUUAUUCCCAAGAAAUGAUGACCGGAAAAGAAAGAAAUGUGCAAGGGUGUAUGGUAAAAGCAACAAAAAGCAAAAACAAUUGUCCUGUUUAGUUUUAGACUAUCCUCCCACUGAUGCUUUCAUUGAUACAUAUAAGGGGACUAAAGAAAAUGAGAUGGGACACGUGUUUACCAGUGACACUAAUGACCCUUGUGAUUAUGAAACCAUAUCAUAUGACAACACAAAGAUUCUGGAGAUGACUCCUAGGAAUUCGGCUGAGAAUGCAUGUCAAAUAAAUGAUGGCCAACUGGAUCAACAGACUGGUUAUGAGGAUAACCUAGAAACCAGAAUGAAAGAAUUUUCAUGUGAGAGUCAAAGAACAGUUCAGCAACCCUUACAGCAUCAAGGUGAUUCUCAUGAUUGCUCUGUGUCAGAGAACACAGUGUCAACAGUUCCUCAGGAAGGCUGUAAACUAGAGGUUUCUGCUGCAGCUUGCCCUCUCCAAAUGGUCUGUGUUCAAGAAAAUACCUCUCAUUUAUCAAACAGUGAGAUGUCACAACUCGACUCUACAAUUCAUAUUUCUACACCAUAUUUUGAGCCUGACAGAGAUGCACCUUCGGUCACAACCAUUUCAAGCACAGAAAUUAAAGAACCUGAAAGACCUUGCAAAAAGCCAGUGCAGCGUAAAUAUAGGAAACGCACUGACCCUGCACUCAAACCUAAGGAUAAGCAGUACAAAUGUAAAGUGUGCUUCACAUGGUUUCUCACCUUAGGUGAGCUGGACUUCCACAAGCUCUCCCACAAUCCGUCACCUCCCCCAACUUGCUAUAUGUGUGUGCAGCGCAAGUUUAGCUCUAGAGAGCAGCUUAGGGACCAUCUCAGGGAAAAACACGGCAAAAACAAAGCAGGUGUUUGGACUUGUGGCAUGUGCCUAAAAGAGAUUUCAGAUGUCUGGAUGUAUAAUGAACACUUGCGAGAGCAUGCCACACAGUUUGCACGAAGAGGACAGUCUCAGAGUUCCCUCUUGGGCAUGCCUGGAUGUUUCAUGCAAGAAAAUGCUGUGAAGAACUUCAUAUCUUCAAUAAUGCAGCAUCGUCCAAGCAGACCUGCAAAGGAAGACAUUGUUAAACCAUCAAAUAAGGAAGAGAGAAGGAUGUCUUUAGAUAGACAAGAGCCAAGCGGUAUGAGGGAGCUUGAUUCUACAAAUCUGAAGACUAUAAGCUUUGGGGGUGGAAGCAAACACUGUGCACUGACAUCGCUUGAGGUUCUACCUCAAGCAGAGACUUCUGCCAAAAAUGCUGACAUGCAUCCUAACUGCAAAGACCCUUCAAGGGACUGUCACCACUGUGGCAAGCAGUUUCCAAAGCCUUUCAAGCUCCAGCGUCAUUUAGUGGUUCACAACAUGCAAAAGAUUUUUCUUUGUCACAAAUGUCCAGUAUCAUACCAGGAGGCAAAGGAGCUGAAACACCACCUACAAAAUGAACAUGAGGAGACAGAUGAGCCACACUCGAAGCACACCACGCUGUAUACUUGUGAACUCUGUGCCGAUGUCAUGCAUGUAAUCAAGAAGUCCUUCAUCUGCAGUACCUGCAACUACACAUUUUCCAAAAAGGAACAGUUUGAUCGUCACAUGGAGAAGCACCUUGCUGAAGGGAACAAGAUCUUCAAAUUCAGGGGUGUUGUGAGGCCCUGCAAGCCUUUUAAUUCAAACUACGAUACAUCCGACAUGCCUCCAAGCAAGAAAAGGAAGGGAACUGAGAGCAAUGUAGACAUCACAAUGUCACACAUGCAAGAUGACAACUCAGCAUUGCCUAUCAUAGAUGACACUGCAGAGAACAUCUCUGAGGAGCGUUCUACUGAAGCAAACAGUACCAGUGUGAAAAUUGAAGACGUAGUCGAAGAUUUCCCUGAAGCUGCCAUGGAACUUAGAGAGUGUACAGUGCAAACAGAUUCUGCAGAACAGGGUCUUCCAUCAACGGAGCUGAAGGAAGAGAAUGAAAGCUCUUCUCUAUCACAUGAAAUCCAAAAAGAUGAGCCUAGGGAAGUCAGCGAAAUUGACAAAGAAGCUCUGACGGAGAUUUGUGAUGUUAAAAUAGAAGAUGACUGUUGCACAAGUCCGACAAAAUUGUUCAUUUCAGAGACAAGCAUUGCUAAACAUAUCCAGAACACGCUGGACACAAACUCUUCAGUGAACCUUGAAAAUGGAAGUGAACAAGGAGAAAUAAGUGACUCGACUCUCUGCACCCUUCAAGUGGGUGGUCAAAGCGAGAUAAGUUUACAAAAAAAAGGGCUCUCAUCUUCCGGUGACUUUGAACUACCAUCUGUGAAACAGUCUUCAAACGAGGCGAGCUACUUGAAGCAGGAUCAACAAACCGAAGCGUCAUUCCCCAUGAAGAAAAACGAGAGUAAAGAACAACUGCCUACUGCUCAGGCUAAGCACAUAACUAUGGUCAAAGCUGAGGAAACUUUGAAACAAACUCCUGACAAUACCCUAAGGUGCCUUAGUAGUGCUGACUCCACACAUCACACCAACAGCUCUAAUACAUCAGAAGACAAGGACUCAAACAAGCAACAGAAGAAGAGAAAAGAACCUAAAACAGCUCACAGCUCUCAGAGAACACCGUCUCCGACUGCACGGGAAAAUCUGAGCGUUAACCCGAGGGUCAGAAAGAAGUUCAGACCCAGCAGGUGUGAAAAUAUCGAUGGACAGAGGAAAAACGAUUUUCCCAAUGACUAUCCUGUGCUCACAUCGGUAAAGGAUGACACAGCCAGCAACAAAAUAAUCUCCAAGCAUAAAAUAGGCUCUUCCAAUCUGGGCCUUCACUUAAAGAAAGUGUCUGUGGAUAGUUUCCCGCCAAAAAAGGUCGAGAUUGUACGUCACUUUAACGGAGAUUGCAAAGGGAAAAAAAACAUUCCCAAGAAAGCCAUCCAUUCCCCUACUCCGAGAAUCUCCAACCUGAACAACUCUUUUAACCACAAAUCACGCCCCAAGCCAGGGGUGAGAUCCAUCGAGACUCACACAUAUCGUACUGCCGAGUCGCAAAACAACCUCCUCAGCCAGCUGUUUGGCCAAAGACUAACUAGCUUUAAAAUUCCUUUAAGGAAGGACACUUCUGAAUCUAUUAAUUAAGGAUUAAAUGGAUGCCAUUAACAGGGAGGUAAUUAAGUGAUCCACUAGGCAUGUGAUUAAGGCAAUUUAUUCAUGAGACUAGGAUUGUACGGCCCUCCUCUGUGAACUCCUUUAACUCCUUGUUUAGUCACUUUAUCCUCUUGUAAAUGUGUAUUAACAUAUAUAUAUGUGAAGACCAACGACGAAAUGUAUGAAUAUAGGAUAAAUCCGUUGGUUACAAAUGAGUCUAUUUUUUCUCUCUCUCUAUUUUAUAGUGGAGCAUUAUCUCUGAGACUGACUGUUUUUAGUCCUCAGCAACAAAGAAAGGCUUUUAAAAAAAAAGAGUUUACUUGAAAAUGAAAUGAGAAUAUUUGUUUUCCAAGUAAUGCAUGACACUUUUUCAUCACAUGUUCUUAAUGUUUUCCUAGCAACAGGACCAAAAGACAUCCUAAGUCUGGAUCACGUCAAUGUGCUUUAUUUUAUAUGCUUCAAAGAAUUACUCCUUUAUACUCUUUUCCUUUACUGUAUUGCGGAGACACUCAUUAGUAUUAGCUUUUGUAUCUUCACUAAUUGGUGCUAUGUUAUUUUAUUAUUGUUAUUAUUAUUAAUAAUAUUAUUAUUAUUUGUGUAAUGUGAACACAAUGUCUUGUAACUGAAGGGAACAUGUAGCAAUUAGACUCCAAAUCAUUGCUGGUACUCAAGAGUCUUCGAGAAAAUGACAGACGAAUACUGCGUACGGUCAAUCAAACAGAAAGGGUUCAUUUGUGUCUUCAUUUGAUCUGUUCAGAGGAGGGCAAGGGAAAAGCCUUUUCCAAAACUGAAUUUAGUUUGAAUAUGAACUCAGGUGCUAUUAUUGCGCAUGAAACCCUUAGGAAUUCUUCCCAUGCACUGAUGAUACCAUACCAAACCCCAUGCGUUCACCUAUAUGUCCCUGGUUCUUUAAUUCUUACUGUUUACUAGAACAAAAGGUGCUUCGUCAUGUUUAUAUGUAUCUUAUAUUGUAUAAUAUAGUACGUUGAUUUAUUUUCCAGUGCAAUGCAUAAUGUCAAAGUUCUAUUUUAAUAAUGUGCAAAAGAUGAAGAGAAAACGGAAUACAAAGCCUGUGGAAGGCUUACGAUUGGAUCACAAAGUGCAUCAUAUAAACUUGGUUAUUAAAUUGUUUUGCAUCAA